CUGCCCAAAGAACAGACGAAAUGGCAUCUCAAAUCAAUAUCAAACCACAGCAGGUACCAUCCUCAGCUACCCAGGACAAGUUGAAGAGUUUACGAUCCCUUGACAAGAAAAAUCAAGCGUCGUUGCUGUUCAAGUUAUUAGGGAAUGAGAAGAAUUGGAUUUUAUGUCCAACAACCUUACCAGUGUCGCCAUGGUUAUUGUUGACUAGCAGGGAGAUGAGUUACAUGCUAUUAUACCCAAAAAUAUUAUCUGGAAAUUUGAUAAGCGGAUUCGAGAGGGUGGUUUGUACACUAUUGAGAAAUUGCACUUGCCUGCUGCUAAACCCAAAUUCAGGCCAACAAACAGUGAGAAGAGGGGUUAUUUUCGGUGGAACACCCCACUCUCCGCGCUGGAUGCUACUAUGUUUGAAGCACUCGAAUCUGAUCUUCAGAACAUACAUCUUUAGUUGUUUAAUGCAGAUCACUACUGUCAAAGCUGUCGAAUCGCUGACAAGACUUUGAAGCAUGUUUGGAGUGCAAAAAUAUGAGAACUUGGUUUCAGAGGUACAUGCAUGGAUGGAUGCCGGCACUGUCCAGUGGCUCCAGUUAUCGCCGACGAACUACUGAAUGUACAAAUUUGGAGUAGGUGUGCGGACUCCUGUUAGGAGGAAGUUAGAAGGGCAACCAUAUCAAAUAUCUCUCUUACUAUCGAAUAUCAAGGAGCCGCAACUACGUCGAAUUCUGACAAAAUGGUAAGAGAUCUUUAAACUUAUCAGUAAGCUGGGCAACUUAUACACUAUCAUAUGAAAUAUCCUCUUUUUAUGUUCGCAUACCAUUUUUCAUGACGAUAUGCUAAUCUACAGGCAUGUCAGGCACAAGACAUGUCAUCUUCUUACAGGGGGUUAGUCCUCGAGUGAUUUCGGGGGAGUUGAGUGUAUUUUAAAUCUCAGGGAUUUUGAGAGAGUUUGAGAGAGUGUAGGGAGUUUAAGAGAGUUUUGUGUUUUUGAGUUCAGGGAG